AACGAACGCUGGCGGCAUGCCUAACACAUGCAAGUCGAACGAGACCUUCGGGUCUAGUGGCGCACGGGUGCGUAACGCGUGGGAACCUGCCCUUAGGUUCGGAAUAACUCCCCGAAAGGGGUGCUAAUACCGGAUAAUGUCUUCGGACCAAAGAUUUAUCGCUUUUGGAUGGGCCCGGGUUGGUUUAGCUGGUUGGUAGGGGAAAAGCAUACCAAGGGGACGUUCCUUAGCUGGUCUGAGAGGAUGAUCGGCCACACUGGGACUGAGACACGGCCCAGACUCCUACGGGAGGCAGCAGUGGGGAAUAUUGGACAAUGGGCGAAAGCCUGAUACAGCAAUGCCGCGUGAGUGAUGAAGGCCUUAGGGUUGUAAAGCUCUUUUACCCGGGAUGAUAAUGACAGUACCGGGAGAAUAAGCUCCGGCUAACUCCGUG
rnacentral:rRNA from 1 species